rnacentral:rRNA from 1 species
GCAGCACAGGAGAGCUUGCUCUCUGGGUGGCGAGUGGCGGACGGGUGAGGAAUACAUCGGAAUCUACUCUGUCGUGGGGGAUAACGUAGGGAAACUUACGCUAAUACCGCAUACGACCUACGGGUGAAAGCAGGGGAUCUUCGGACCUUGCGCGAUUGAAUGAGCCGAUGUCGGAUUAGCUAGUUGGCGGGGUAAAGGCCCACCAAGGCGACGAUCCGUAGCUGGUCUGAGAGGAUGAUCAGCCACACUGGAACUGAGACACGGUCCAGACUCCUACGGGAGGCAGCAGUGGGGAAUAUUGGACAAUGGGCGCAAGCCUGAUCCAGCCAUACCGCGUGGGUGAAGAAGGCCUUCGGGUUGUAAAGCCCUUUUGUUGGGAAAGAAAUCCAGCCGGCUAAUACCUGGUUGGGAUGACGGUACCCAAAGAAUAAGCACCGGCUAACUUC